GAUGAACGCUGGCGGCGUGCCUAAUACAUGCAAGUCGAGCGAACAGACGAGGAGCUUGCUCCUCUGACGUUAGCGGCGGACGGGUGAGUAACACGUGGAUAACCUACCUAUAAGACUGGGAUAACUUCGGGAAACCGGAGCUAAUACCGGAUAACAUGUUGAACCGCAUGGUUCAACAGUGAAAGACGGUCUUGCUGUCACUUAUAGAUGGAUCCGCGCCGCAUUAGCUAGUUGGUAAGGUAACGGCUUACCAAGGCAACGAUGCGUAGCCGACCUGAGAGGGUGAUCGGCCACACUGGAACUGAGACACGGUCCAGACUCCUACGGGAGGCGGCAGUAGGGAAUCUUCCGCAAUGGGCGAAAUCCUGACGGAGCAACGCCGCGUGAGUGAAGAAGGUCUUCGGAUCGUAAAACUCUGUUAUUAGGGAAGAACAAAUGUGUAAGUAACUAUGCACGUCUUGACGGUACCUAAUCAGAAAGCCACGGCUAACUACGUG
rnacentral:rRNA from 1 species